rnacentral:lncRNA from 1 species
AGCUUAGUGCCAACAUAUACAUAAGUAGCAGCACACUAAUAUUACAUUGUUUUUGUUCUGAUCAUUCAGAAUGUUGUAUCUUCCAAGAGGAUGGAGAAUGAUAAAUCUACAGGAAGACCAUAUGUAGAAAAGCAACAUCAUAAUCUUUAACCAUGGACAACAGCAAGUUCAAACACAAAACCAAGGACUAUAAUAGCUAAACUCUCAUAGAAAUCUCUCUCUAGCAUUCUAGUUGAACUUCAACAGUAGCGCACCAACAUUAGCUAGAGGGCGAGGCAGGCCGCAGCAACAGCUGCUAACAGCGACCAGCAAAUGGAGGCUGGGUCGUGACGGCGGCACCGAGAUGGAGGAGGUGCCAGGGCAUGGCAGGCAAAAAUAACUGUGAUUGAAUAGUCUCAAUCAGGUAGGUAGGCGUUACAAGAAAAGAAAUAGCAAGUACAUCAAGUUUCAGUGCCUCUUUCACACACAGAUGUACAACAAAAUUGGCAUACCUUCUUAUAUAGAUGAACUUGAACCCCUAAAAACUUGUGAGAUAUGAACAUCUUUCGAAAGCCAUCGACCGCCUCAAAAAAAUCCCUGGAAUCCUCUGACAUCGUGCAUCAAACUUGGUCUUCAGUCUCAAUAAUAUUAUUUCAGAAUCCUUUUUUCAAUCGCCAUCAACAUGGUUGUCAUUGCAGGCAAACUAUCAACUUUACGAUUCUAAAAGUACUAGCUUUUGGCAAAAUGUGUACAAGCUACUCAAGAAAUUGAAGAUAGUUGCAAACAACAUACGAGCUACAGCCUAGCGAUUUUUGCAAGUACGUGAGUGAAGACUUGUGAUUGUUCUGAUUCUGAACUUCACAUUUUUCUGAUUCUGAACUUGUGAUUGUUCUUUUUUCGCAGGGUGCAGUGCAACUGCCGGUGUUGGGAGGCUGGCUUCGCUCCAUCAGGUAGCUUCGUCCACCGCCGCACAGGACGGCGAGGAGGGGAUGAAGGAAAGACAGACCUGGCAGCAAGCGGGGGAGGAGCCGGAGCAGCGCCAUGUCGGGGAUGCAUGGUGUCAGCAGCUAUGUUUUUUAUAAAACCUAAAUCACUUCACAGAACAUAGUUAAAUAUUUUAACAUCACAAAAAGCUAUGUUUUUUUAUACAAGAAGUUGUUUUUCUAGGUAGUAGCACGUGCUUGCGUUGCACACGUUCCUCUACCACACACAUAUUUAUCCUCUCACGUGCUUCCAUUCUCCCCCUGUUUAACUCUGAACUCGUGUUGCACUACCAAAAGCUAACAGCAAAUGCAAUCCUAAUUAACAUACGAUGCAGAGCAUCAUCUCCGGUCAAAGCGAGGAAGCCUUAAUUGACAAAAUUGCAAAAAAUUUGUACUUCCGGCCUUGGGUGUGCUGGGCAGCGGCGGUGCGCUUUUCUUGUUGUUGAAUCCACGAGUGAUCCAACUAACACAAAGUCAAGUUGAACUCCAUGUUUUUUUUAGAGGGAAACCUUGUGUUCAGCAGCCAUGUCCUUGUCGUUUCAAUCGUAUGAACUUCAUAGGAAUUGGGAAUGAAACUCGUGGCUGGUGUUACCUUCUUUUUGCUAGCCAUCUGAUUGAGGAAAGAGAGCACCCGCUGGUUGCCGAGAGAGCCUGGAUCGCGCCAGGAUCUGUUCCAUUCAUGAACACAAACAUAUGAGCUGAGACCACGAGAGAAGCUAAAAGUACACAACUCGAACACCGGUCAUGAAAUUUUCUGCACCGCAAACGUUGUUGAAUCCAUUUCUUUAACUGUUAAGAACGGAUGGUUUUCUUUUGUCAACGAUCUCUUCUAACAUAUGUGCUAAAACUGCUAAAAAUGAGCAUUUUUGCUAUAAUGCAUAUAAUGAACCUCUUAAUUUCAGACAUGAAAACUAAAUAAUUGUGUUUAUACGCAGUCGAACUGAUUCACAGAGGAGAUGAGGAGGUUGACAGAGAGAGAUGGUUGCAGCCGAAGCCGGUAUAGGCGGCUGGCCGCGCCACCGAAGCGCCGGUGAAAGGGAGUGCCGUCGCCAACAGCGGGAGAUGAGGCACGUGGAGGCACAGGGUCAGCGGCCGCUGGCUCGAGGAAUAGCAUGUAAAAACCAAAACUGAAAAAUUCAGUACACAUUCUGUCGAACAUGAAAACUAGAAAAUUCUGUUCAUCUUCAGAAAGGAAGAUGCUGUAGCAACUAGAUUUGUAGGAGAAGCAUCAUGCUAGAAUAAGUUAGACUGCACAUAUUCUUCUUUUGUGAACUUCUGCAACUAUAUGCAGGUCGUGGGGAGGUGAGCGGCGGCAGCACACGCGAGCAUGGUCGCUUCUAUACAUUAUACAUUGCUGCUAACCAAAAUCACAAAACAUGCUGAACGUGUAUGGGAUGGAAGUGGUGUGCUCAGCCUCACCUUGACUGUUGUGGACUGCUGCUCGCGAUGGCCUCGACCUCCCUGACACAGCGCGGCUGGACUGGGAUGGCGCUUGGUUUCGUUGGGUUAAUCGGGAGGAGGCGGAGGUGUGGUAUUCAGGAUGAGGAAGAAGGGCGGCGCGGGAGUUCCACCUGGAGGAAGAAGGGCGCCUGAGGCUAGGAUGGUUGGGGCGACGCCGGUUGAUUCGGGGGAAGGGGAGGGGUAGCGCGGUGGCGGAGGAAGCCAGAUCCGAGCGCGCCGGGAGGGAUGACAGAGUGUGAUUGGGACGGAUAGGCAGCAAGAGGAGGCGCGCGACCUCUGCGCCCUGCAGGGGCGGUGCUGGUCGCCGGUGGAGGUCCAGCAGCUGGAGACACGCUGGGAUCCGAGGCGGGCGACGCGAGGCGUGCUGGGGACGAGGGGCAGGCGGGGGUUGGACGGCGACGGGAGGCUCGCCGGGGCAGUGGGAGCGGCGGCGGGAGGCGCGGCAGGGCCAGGGAGGCAGCGGCGGGAGGCGCACCGGAGCCAGGGGCCGGCAGCGGAAGGCAGUCGGGCGGAGUGUGGAGUUCGGGAGGACCUCAGUCGCUCCCCCUAUAUAGAAGUAGGGCUAUGUGAUCAAAAUAUAUAUAUACUAUUCUAGGUUGCAGAAUAAAUUAUUCUUCACCCGAGGUAAUCUUAUGAUCAUUUCAUAAUUAAAUUACGUUUGAAAUUCAAAUAGUUACAUUCUUAUUGAUUCACUACGUAAAAUUUGGCAUAAAAAAAUAAAAAUACAGGGCAUAAGACAAGAAAAUUUACAGUUUAUGUGUAUUUUACACUAUGUUUUUACGUUUGUAAUUUUACAUAACAUAAAAUAUUUUUUACGACGAUUAUAUAUUUUCUUAGGUCUCUUUUUACGUCAGAAAUAAGACAAAACUUACGAAGCGUAAAAUUACGAUGCAUUGAUGAUAAAAUAGAGGGGGUGAAGAAUAACUAUUCCUCACCCAGGGUGACGAAUAGUCAAUCCUUAUAUAUGGGUAAAAUAUAUGGGUUCAGCUCCUCUACAAUUCAGUUGUUACUGUAUGGGUGCUGUAGGCUCUACUAUCAACCGUCCACUCUAAUCUAGUGGAUCUUCUUACUUUCACUUAAUUCUCUUAUUAAAUCGCAAAAAACACCAUCCCGAACUAGAGACGUGACGGCGGUCAUAAGCUCCCCGCGCCAACAAGUUCGAUGAAAUCCGCACAAACGGCGCCGGCACCGUCGUAUGUCCAGAGCUUGCGAACCUGCAAACAAAGCGUCACGCGGCUACCGAAACAGGAUACCGUCACCAUACCUGCAGCAUUUGUUAGAUCAAUGCUAAGUAAUUCAUGCAUCGACCAAGUAAUUCUUGCAUCGAGACAUGUAUUCAUCCUCCAUUUAUUAACCAGCUAGCUUUCUUCUCCAUGGUAGCCCCAGACAACAAUCGUAGGGCUACAAGAACUCAAGAUGGUUUCCUUGAGGAACUUAUGCUCCGGUCAUGCAAGCCAUUUACAAGGCCGGCGAGCUCCUGGCCUCCGGCCGCGACGGCGCCGUGCGUUUCAAUUUCACAUGCACGCUGACAGCUGAGCUGGCCGGCGCGGCCAGCCGGAGGACCGCCGUUCUUCCGACGUCGUUACAAUUUUUGUUUUUGAUUAAUAACAUAAUUAAGGCAGACCAAAGAGAGCCUUUGGAUUGAAACCGACGGUGGAUUUUGAGAGCAACAACAUGCGUACAGUAAUAACAUUACUGUAGAGGAGCCGACCCACCCAAUAUAUAUAGGGAAAAUCCAUCCUACCACCCGGUGGUAGUUACCCCACAUGUCAUAUAUACUACCGGUAGUAUAUAUUCUACUUCAUCAUUAUAAGUAUGUUCAUAUACUAUAUAUAAGAUACUCUAAAGUGAGUUACAUGAAAAAAUUGCAAGUUGAUCCAUGUUUUUACUAUAUUUGUGAAAUACGUACAUAUUUGUACGUAAAAAGGAGCAUACUCAAAAUACGAUAUAUACAAAAAAGUAGUAUAUAUACUACCUUAACAUUUUUAUAUACUACAUACUAUGCGUACAUACUCUCCGAUUUGAUAAAUACUACAUACAACAUACAAAACUUAAAUGGUGGUAACUACCACCGGUGGUAGAUAAAAAUUGUCCUAUCUUCUAUAUCUAAAUAGGAGCCCCCAUUACCUGAUUUUCCUCGCUUCGCGCGCAGCCACGUCACCUGAAUUAUUAUUAGCCAUUCCAUCAACUAUGAACGCAAUCAGCUGUCGUGCGCUAACUCUCGCUGCCUUCCCCGACUUCCAACGAUUGGACUGCACGUGGGUUGCCUGAGCUGUAUGUGGGCUGUGUUUGCUGCUGCCGCACAUGGGCCUUGAUUCAAUGUUAGGCAUGUGGGCUGUAUAGCCCAUGGGGGUCAACCGCCGCACUAGGUCACUCACGGUCACCAUCUUCUCCGAUGUGAACCAUGAAUCAUCCUCGCUGUUAUCUCUUCCGCUGCCACGGCUGAAUAUCUCCCUGGCGCAAAUGCACAUGAAACUGCAACGUUCAUCGCGCCUCAUUACUUCGCCCUCUGUUAUUACCAAAAGAAAAGGCUAGAUUAAACGGCGCGACCACGGCCUUCCGUAUACAAACCUAUCUCUGCUACCAACUUCUCGCACCAUCGCUGCUUCUCCGUAUGGGUCGCGACGCGGUUCUGUUGCCGAGCACCCACAUCGUCGUGGACGGUAUGCCGUUGUUGCACCCCAUUGCUCUGCUCUGAAUCUGCACCCGCAUGCCAGCCGGUUUUUGUCGCCUUCCGAUGUCUCUUUGAUUGUGGGGACACAGGAGAGAUCGCCGUUCCGUUGCCGGAGCUGGAUACCAGAAUCCCGGAUCGUCGAGGAAGUGCACAACUGCUGAGGCGUCGGAACGUUUUUGCUAUGCGCCUGCCGUUGCCGUCGGUGAGGAUGAGAGGUGGGGAAUUCGACUCAAUCAGUAAACAUGACUUCCAAAUUUACUCCACGUUUGGGGCUAGCGCAUCAUCUCUGUGUGGCAGGUCGUUCCGGUUUUGCCUUUCCGGUCACUUCCCAGUCCCUACUCUAUAAUUUGCAACAUCUGCUCCACACACCUUCGACACUCUCUGGUCCAGGCUUAUAAGCUCUAUGUGCUCCCACAUGGACUUCAUGGAGAUGCUCUUUCACUUGGACAUAAGGUAGAAGAUAUCAUUUUAGAUUGUUAAUGCAAUUUUGAUUUACUAUUUCCCAUCCGUCUCACAAAAAUGCUUCAUUGCUAAUAUAUGUCUCUGAUUUUCCAUGCAUUUUCAGCAUUGGAGAUGCUCUUUCACUUGGACAUAAGGCAACAUAUAUCAUUUUAAAUUAUACAGUGUGAUUUUGAUUUGUACCCUGUCCAUGCCUUGGCAAAAUGCACCCUGUUAUAUUUAUAGCAGAAUGUGGCAAACAUUUCAAUAUAUACGUUCUUUCAUUGCUUAUCUGAUAAGAAUCGGCUCUAGAAGCCCAGGUCAGUGCUUUGAUGUUUAAAGAAUUAUUACAUGUUCAUAAUGUGAUCUAAUGUUAUAUCUUAUAAUUUUUUGAUCUGCUAUUGGUUUCAGAACUAAAUGUAAGAUUGGUUCCGUCCAUGCAGCAGAGGAAAAUUUUGCAAGUAGUUCCAUGCAAUAAACAUUGGUGGCCACCCACUCAUUAUUUGUUUGUUAGACCCCAUGACUGAAUUGAGACUUCUUCCCACUGAUUUGCUGGAGAUUCCUUAUGCAAUUGUAAUGCUCAAUGUAGCCGCUUGAUGCUUUUGGGUACGCCGUGCUUUGCAACUGUUUGAUGCUUAAACACACUUCAGUUAGAUUUACUUGGUUUUCUUAUAAAUGUGGUUAAUGCAGUUCCAAACUAAUAUUUAUGGUUAGCUAUAUCGAUUCCAAGUUUCUGUAUGAACUUUUUCUUUUUAUAGAUAACAUAAAACUUUCACAUACAUGAGGAUGGCUUUUCACAUGGAGUACUAGGGAUCAAUACAAAUUGUAUCUCAGUGUUCUUAUGCAUGCGAUUCAUUUUUUGCCUCCAGCAAACAUGCAGUUCCAAAUUAAUUAUUGUGGUUAAUUGUAUUGAUUCAAAAUUUCUAACCAAAGUUUUCUUUUCUUAUAGAUAACAGAAAACUUUCACAUUAACGAGAAAGAUUUUUCAUAUGUUGUGCUAGGGACCAAGAGAAAUUGUAACCCCGAGCCAGAUUUCAUAAGUUUUGUUUAUCUCGAUUCUCAAUAUUAUUUCCUUUGUAUAUGAGAGUUGUGAACGGGAUUCUUUUUGCACCCGCGGCAAUCCAGGGGGCACCUAGAAAAUGUAUUCUUUAUAUUUCCAUGUUGUUUAAUAUUUUAUAAUUAUUUUGUCUGUAAUUCUACUAAUAUGUAUUUACGCAUUCUGUCCCGCAGCAACGCGUGGGGCAUCAUCUAGUUAUAUAUAUAUAGAAAAAGAUUAACCCGUGUGGGGUCCGGCCGUCAGUGAGGUCAGCAAGGUGUUAGCGCUAAAAUAGGAUUAGGACCGGGCCCCACUAGCAAGGGGCACAGCCGGCUCCUCUGGCGAGGCACGCACGGGCACUAGAGGCUCCGGCGGCUAGGCAGCGGCGGGCGGCCCCGGCGCGGGACAGGUGCGGGCGGCGCCGACGCGGGGCAGGCACGAGCGGCAGCAGGCGGUUAACGGCAGAGGCAACAACAACGACGGCCAGACGGUGGGGAGUUCCGGCGGGUGGAGGCGGGCACAGCCGGCAGCGGUGGGACGCGAGCGGGGCUGCCAGGCAGAGCAAGCAGCAGCAGGAGAGGCGACGACAGCAGCUAGAGGCAGGGGGCGGCGAGCACCGAAUGGCGCGGGCGCGAAAGCAGGGCCUCGGCGAGGAAACGGCAACGCGUGGGAGGGGGCCUGGCCGGAGGCGCGCGGGGGGAGCCGAGCUGCAGGCAGGCGUGGGCGCAGUCAAGCAGGCGAGAGCGGCUACAGCAGAAUAGCAUCGGUGGCAGCUAGCAGAUCAGCAGCAGCGAAGCAGAAGAGCAGCUACGACAUGAGCAGCGGUAGUAGGCAACGCAACAGCAAGCAAAGAGCAGCAGCGGCGGCUUAAAGAACAGCAGCAACGCAGCAACAGUAGUACGCACGGGCUCGGAUGAGCUCGGGGACGGAGGCUACAACAACAAAAUCAAAGCGAAGGAAGGGGGUUCCGGGGGAGAAGCUCACUGCGAGUUCAUUGGCGUGCUCGGGGAGGCCGGAGGGACUCGAGGUCGGCCGAAUCGACGGCGAGGCAGUGGUGGCCGUCGGUGGAGGGGAUCGUGGAUGGCGUCGAGUUGGUGCAGUCCCAGCUCGUGGUGCUUCGUGUAGUCGAAGAGGAUGAUGAGGCGCUUCUCCUGGACAGGACGGAGUGGCAAGGGGAGCACGGUGGCUGCGAGGUCGAUGGCAACAGCGGCGACGGAGGCAUCGGUGAGGGAGAGGGCAGCGUCCUAGAGAGAGGGAGGGGGAGAGGGGCAUGGGUGAGUGGGGUACAGGGGAGAGGAGUGAGGAGUGAGGCGUCCCGGGGCCUUAUCCCCUGCCGACGCCGGCGAGGUGGUCGGGCGGGAGCCGCCCUGUAGCGACGAGACUGAG